ensembl:lncRNA SCAMP1-AS1 SCAMP1 antisense RNA 1
GGGGCGAAGGAAACGGGAACUGAAAGCGAUGAAAAGCGUUCCACACGCCACGAGCCCGCGGGAUCCUCGGAGAGUAUGGAACCCUUCCCCUCCGCUCUCAGCCGGAGGCCAGCUGCGUCCAGCCGGGCUCGGUCUUCUGAACACCGAUUUCAAAUCAGGUCCUCGGGGCCCAGCGUCACUUAGGGAAGUGGUGGCAUUUUGUGGUUGCUGCUAAAUCACGGAGAGCAGCCUUGGCGCUGCCGGUCCCAACUUGAUCCAAGGAGCCUUGAGAAGGAGAUGAGAUUCAGUACCAGGGGCCGGCCGUGGCUCCCAUCCUCCGGAAUCUGCAAAAUGGCUACUUCUUCAGAAAUAAUGGGGAGAGGGAUGGCAAGAGGCCAGAGAUCAAGGCCCUCGAGUAUUAACUUGAGCAUUUGGGCACAAAAUAGACACUUUUGGAUUUUCCCGUCUUUUCCAACACCAAGGAUGAGAUUAUCAAAAGAUGUGUUAAAUUAAUUUGUACCGGCCGGGCGCGGUGGCUUACGCCUGUAAUCCCAACACUUUGGGAGGCCGAGGCGGGCGAAUCACAAGGUCAUGAGUUCGAAACCAGCCUGGCCAAUAUGGUGAAACCCCCGUCUCUACUAAAAAUACAGAAAUUAGCCGGGAGUGGUGGCGUACGCCUGUAGUCCCAGCUACUCUGGAGGCUAAGGCAGGAGAAUCGCUUGAAUCCGGGAGGUGGAGGUCGCAGUGAGCCGAGACCGGGCCACUGCACUCCAGCCUGGGAGACAGAGCGAGACUCUGUCUCAAGAAAAAAAAAAAAUCAAUUUGUACCAUUCCUUGCCCCACCCUGCCGAACUUAUUGAAAGAGCAUCGCUUUCCUCACUUUUCUCCUCUAACAGAAAAGCACUUAGAUGAAGCUACAGGGAGCCAGAAUUCUUUUGACUUGGUGGGUACCGGAGGAUUGGAAGAAUCUAGAUUGAGUAUUCCUUGGCCUUUGGGGAGCUUGCUCUAUGCAAAGUCACCCAGGAAAUGAUACUCCCCCCACUGUGAAACACUAGCUAGAGAUGAUAGACAAAAAGCACAUUUGUUGUAAUCUCCCUUUGACGGGAUUCAGGUUGGGAUAGAUGUCGAAGCAGCUGCUUCUAGGUAGUCAACGAAGAUGUCAACUAGUAAAUGACAACAGACAAGGAUGAGCACAGCAGAGCUGUACGAUUCUAGAUAUCAAAAAGAGCAAGCAGUCUGUUGUACUCACCAUCGCAUCCUCAGCAGCUGCCCAGUGCCCGGUUUUAACUUAGUGCUCAGUGUAUGUGUCAGGUUUGAAUCCCAAUUCUGAUACUACCUGUGCUACUCUCUUCACCUCUCUGAGUCUGUAAAGGAUUAUUUAAGAAUUAAAUGAAACAACAUACAGAAAAGUGUCCUGCAUGUAUAUUUAGUGCCUAACAAAUAUUGGUUGAACGUCGAAAGUGGCAAGGAGGCUCAGUAUGUUCUUAUACGCUUUGCCUCCCUUCUCCUGAGCAAGCAUGUCCUUGCCCAGCUCAUCUGCUUCUCUCACCACUUUUGCCCUCACUCCCUCCACCUGUCCUCCAAAUGACUCAAAAUAAUCUGCACUAUUUAUUAUGCAUCUACUAUGUUCCAAGACAAUGAGGGUCAGCUGAGCCCGCAUUGCAGGAUGGAAAUUUCCAACUAUGUUCUGUUUACAGCUAAUGAUAUUUGCACCUAAUGCAAAGGUUUACAGACUUUACUGUUAUAGAAUCAUUUGGAAUACCUGUUGAAGAUGCAGACACCCACCUUACCAUACCUCCUAUUGCUAAGAUUACGCUUGAAAGGAUCUGAGGUAGGGGCUCUGGAUCUGCAUUUUUUAUUUUUUACAUCUCUAUACAUUAUUUUACAUAAAUGUAUAAAUGGAGUCAUGACAUACAUAUUGAAUUUUUCACUUACAAAAAUUUUUAUUCCGUGUAUUCCCUCUUCUCUUCCCCUACAUUAACAACCUAGUACAUUUCUUUAAAUAUUCUUGUAAUAGUGUAUAUCUGCACUUACAUAAAAUAACAUGUAAUUGUAUAAAAACAAUACAUAUUCAUGCAGAUAUGCAUACACUCUAAUACUGAGCUUUGGCAUUGUCUUGAAAAAGUUAGAUCAUAUGUAUAUUUUUCUGCAGCUGUUUUUCUCAAUACGUAUGGCAGAAUUUCUCAGCAAGAUGUGCAUUGUCAGAGAGACAGUCUUAAGGUUUCUUCCCCUAGUAUGCCACAUAAAUAUUAUCACUUUUUAUGUGUAGCAUGCCUAUAGAGUGAAAAGGGAAGCAUGGCCUAAUGGAAACCAUAUAUCUGAUUCAUUAUUCUUAACAACUGCAAAAAUCAGCAUAUGUAAAGGAUCUCAGGUGAUUUUUUUUUUUUUUUUUUUUGAGACCGAGUCUUACUCUGUCACCCAGGCUGGAGUGCAGUGGCACAAUCGUGGCUCACUACAACCUCCACCUCCCUUGUUUAAGCAAUUCUCCUGCCUCAGCCUCCCGAGUAGCUGGGAUUACAGGCAUGCACCACCACACCCGGCUAAUUUUUGUAUUUUUAGUAGAGAUAGGGUUUCACUUUGUUUGCCAGGCUGGUCUCGAACUCCUGACCUCAAAUGAUCCAGGCCACCUCUGCCUCCCAAAGUGCUGGGAUUACAGGCAUGAGCCACCAUGCUUGGCCAACCUGAGAUGACUUUGGUGGUGGCUGAUCACACUUUUGGGAACACUGAUAUGAGGACAUGCAGACAUAUGGUCCAUGGGUGAGGGUCUUAAUCUGUUUGUGUUGCUAUAAAGGAAUACGGGAGGCUGGAUAAUGUAUGAAGAAAAGAGGAUUAUUUGACUCAUGGUUCUGCAGGCUGUCAGCUUCAGAUGAGGGCCUUAUGCUGCUUCCACUCAUGCAGAAGGCAAAGGGGAGACUUCGUGCAGAGAUCACAUGGCUACAGUGCAAGAUGGGGCAUCAGGGGAGAGAAAGGGAGAAGCUGACUCUCGGUUCUUUUGAACAACCUGUUCUCAAGGAUGAGAACUCACUCUCAGGAGAAUAGCACCAAGCCAUUUGUGAGGAAUUCAUCCAUAUGGCCCAAACACCUCCCACCAGGCCCCAACUCCAGCACUGGGACUCAUAUUUCAACAUGACACUUUGCAGGUCCAAAGCCAUACCCAAACCAUAGCAGGGAGCUUAUUAAUUCAUUAGCCUCCAUGAAAUUUAGAAUUAUAGAAUGUGCGAGCUGAGAAGGAACCUCAGCCUCUCUCAUGAUUGAAGAAACUGGAGUUUGGACAGGUUAAGUAAUUUGUCUCAGACACCAAGGAAGUGAAUGGGGAAACAGGGAACAGAACUCAGGUCUCUUGACUAAUGUUUUAGACAUUAAAUAAAUAGGUUAUUAAAUGAAUAGAAUUAUUCUAUAUGAAUAAUUUCAUAUAGAAGGAAGAAAUGCUAUGUGCAAGGUAGAGAGAAAUUAUACAAGAAGCCUCAUUUGGUGCAGGAGUUCAUUUUACGGAAGGUACCUCCUAAAUUUGGUAGAACAAAGACUCAAAACCAGUCUAUGCCCUCUCUCCUGCAAACCAACCGUUUGAUCUUGAACAUAUCAACUCACCUUUCUAACCAGAGUUUCUACUCUAGUACAUCAUUCAAGUAUUUCUUGAGCAACUAAAACAGUGAUGUUGUGGAUAAAGCAGUAAACCAGGUAUAAAGCGUAAGGCCUGCUCCAGAAAACUUCCUAAAAGGCCUAGAACAUGGCUAAAGGAUAUCUCAGAUCCUUUGGACAGUUCUAACGUUCUAUUAAUCUGGGACAGUGGCUCACUCCUCCCUAACCCUGUUUCUUUUCCCCUCAGAGUGUGCCUCCCAUCAUCAUCAUGCUGCUUCUCCUCAGACUGACACUUUUAAUUGGUGAACCUAUUGAGCAGGGUCUAGAGUCUGAAUUCCUUGUUUUCUAAACUGCCUAGCUUAUAGCUGGGGAAUGCUAGGAAAAUGCCAAGUUAGAUAUUUACGUUUCUUGCCUCAAAAGGUUCACUGGAUUCUGGGUUCACUGAUGGAUUAGAACUGAAAUCCAUCAUCUCUUACAGUGGGUCUAGUCUCCAGAUUUGCUGCUGUGUCUGCUGAUACCCUCGACGCCCCAGCACCAGCCUAUCUGGCUCCCUAUUCUGCCACUGGCUACAUUUUCAGGCAAUAACAGAGGAGGUGCAGGCAUUGUGUGGUAGGCCAAAUAAUCCUCCCCUCCCCCAAAGAUGUCCAUGCUAUAAUCCCUAGAAUCUGUAAAUAUGUUACCUUACAUGGCAAAAGAGACUUUGCAGGUGUAAUUAAGGUUAAGAACCUUGAGAGGAGGGGAUUAUCCUGGAUUAUUCAAGUAGGCCCAAUGUAAUCACGAGUCCUUGAAAGUGGAAGAGGAAAGCAGAAGAGUUGCUGACUUUGAUGAUUGAGGAAGGGGUUCUUAAACUAGGGCAUGUGAGUGGCUUCUGAAGCUGGAAAGAACCCUCAGCUGACAGCCACCAAGGAAACAGAGAUUUCAGUCUUACAGACUCAAGGAACUACAUUCUACCAAUGAUCAAUGUACAAGGAAAUAGAUUUUCCCUCGAGCCUCCAGAAAGGAACCUAGCCUUGCUGACACUUUGAUUUUAGACUGGUGAAAUUCAUGCUGAACUUAUGACCUACAG